rnacentral:rRNA from 1 species
UGAGUAACACGUAUGCAACCUGCCUGCCACAGCCGGAUAAUCGGGAGAAAUUCCGUCUAAUAACGGCAUAAUGCAUCGACGGGACAUCCUGUUGGUGCCAAAGGUUAAUUCCGGUGGCGGAUGGGCAUGCGUCGCAUUAGUUAGUUGGCGGUGUAACGGACCACCAAGACGACGAUGCGUAGGGGUUCUGAGAGGAAGGUCCCCCACACUGGUACUGAGACACGGACCAGACUCCUACGGAAGGCAGCAG